rnacentral:lncRNA from 1 species
AGCUUUGUGCAAGAGCAAUAAACUGUCUUAACACCAUGAUCAUUGCGCUUUGCUAAAGAACGUUUUACUUCAGGCGAGACGCAGCGAAAAAGGUGAAAACAUUGAUUUUUCUCAGUUGUCAUGAUGGAAAUGACAUCUUUGUCUAGUUUUCCCCAUUAACAUCUUAGUUUUAAUGUCUACCACAUAAACUCUCCCUUUAUUAAUGUUUUGACGACUUUGUGCUUCAUCUGAAAACACCAUUACGUCAUUACGCCGCCUCCCACAAAAAAACAUGACCCACCAAUAUCACAACAGGAGUUGCCUCAUAGGGCUGCACCGAACAUUAAGGCAAUAAAACAGAGCAGUAAAUAAGACGAUGUCAAGUUCAGGCGAAUCAAGUAUCCAGGCAAACAUAAUGUCCAAAUAAUCGUCAGCAGUAGGUGGCGACGAGCGGCGCGGGUGUCCCUGUCCUUAGACUCUCCCGCACAGCAAGGAAAAAACCCAGGGGGAGAAAAGCGAAACCUUGGGGAGAAUCACAGAAGGAGAGAUCCACUCCCAUGGACAGACAGACUGUAGAGACCCAGGGCCGAUGGAAGUCCCUCAACAGACAGGCCAAGAUUGCAGACCGUCCAGUCCUUGUUGUCAACCCAGUAAGCCGGGUUCCUCCGCUCGAUCUAGACACACUCCGGAGUGGGAGUGGGAGUGGGACAGGAGACACCAUGUGAAUAGUAAUGAACAAACUACAGAUAAAAUAAAUAUUGUAUCAUAAUGAGACAAAGUUUGCAGUAAGAAGAAGAAGAGGAUAACGCUCAGUGUACCGUACUUCCCACAGCAGUGUUUCUUCUAAGGCAGCUUUACUUCAGGCUGUGGGUUAGAGCUUUACUUCAGGCUGUGGGUUAGAGCUUUACUUCAGGCUGUGGGUUAGAGCUUUACAUCAGGCUGUGGGUUAGAGCUUUACUUCAGGCUGUGGGUUAGAGCUUUACUUCAGGCUGUGGGUUAGAGCUUUACUUCAGGCUGUGGGUUAGAGCUUUACUUCAGGCUGUGGGUUAGAGCUUUACUUCAGGCUGUGGGUUAGAGCUUUACUUCAGGCUGUGGGUUAGAGCUUUACUUCAGGCUGUGGGUUAGAGCUUUACUUCAGGCUGUGGGUUAGAGCUUUACUUCAGGCUGUGGGUUAGAGCUUUACUUCAGGCUGUGGGUUAGAGCUUUACCUAACUGACCUGAUCAUAAGCUCAUUCUCAGAGGUACGUUUUGAGCCUAGUCUUAAAUGUAGAGACUGUGUCUGCUUCUUCUUUAACGUGAGCUGGGAGUUUAUUCCAUAAAACCGGAGCUUGGAGCUAAAGGCUUUACCUCCUACAGUGAUUUUGGAGACUCGAGGAAUCACUAGUAGCCCUGAGUUUUGAGAGCGGAGUGCUCUGGUUGGCCGAUAUGGAACGAUAGCA